rnacentral:rRNA from 1 species
GACGGGGCCCGCACAAGCGGUGGAGCAUGUGGUUUAAUUCGAAGCAACGCGAAGAACCUUACCAGGUCUUGACAUCCGAUGCUAUUUCUAGAGAUAGAAAGUUACUUCGGUACAUCGGUGACAGGUGGCGCAUGGUUGUCGUCAGCUCGUGUCGUGAGAUGUUGGGUUAAGUCCCGCAACGAGCGCAACCCUCGACCUUAGUUGCCAGCAUUCAGUUGGGCACUCUAAGGUGACUGCCGGCUAAAAGUCGGAGGAAGGUGGGGAUGACGUCAAAUCAUCAUGCCCCUUAUGACCUGGGCUACACACGUGCUACAAUGGGCGGUACAAAGGGUCGCGAACCCGCGAGGGGGAGCCAAUCCCAAAAAGCCGCUCUCAGUUCGGAUUGCAGGCUGCAACCCGCCUGCAUGAAGCCGGAAUCGCUAGUAAUCGCGGAUCAGCACGCCGCGGUGAAUACGUUCCCGGGCCUU